rnacentral:rRNA from 1 species
UACGUCGGGGGCAAGCGUUGUCCGGAUUUAUUGGGCGUAAAGAGCGUGUAGGCGGUUUGGUAGGUCCGUUGUGAAAACUCGAGGCUCAACCUCGAGACGCCGAUGGAAACCAUCAGACUAGAGUCCGGAAGAGGAGAGUGGAAUUCCUGGUGUAGCGGUGAAAUGCGCAGAUAUCAGGAAGAACACCCGUGGCUAAGGCGGCUCUCGAGGACGGUACUGACGCUGAGACGCGAAAGCGUGGGGAGCGAACAGG